GGGCGCGUGGCCUAGCCAGGAUAAGGCGGUAGCCUCCUAAGCUACAAAUCGCGGGUUCGAAUGCAUGAUGCGCAGAAAAUCCCGCCGCGCCCG
rnacentral:tRNA from 1 species